CAACUCUUACUUCGUGCGAUAAGUACUAAUACUUGAAUGGAUAUUUGUGUUUUGUGUUGUAAAUUCGUAAUACCGCGUUAUAUUUGCUGGAAUUUAGUGUUAAUAGACGGGUUUUUGUCGCUAAACAUUUAUCGCGUGUGUAAUCUUCGGAAUUCAAUGUUUUGUGUGUUUAUAACAGUUUCGCGUGUAUCUGCGAUCGCUUGCCGUCGGACGCCACUCGGUCAUGUUGUGUGAUUGUAAAUAAUAAUUAUGGCAAAUAAGACAAUUUAUAAGGCAAAGUUUGGGGUCCUCUGUAUCUACUCGCAUUUGAUUUUCGGUGUUCGAUACACUGUACUUGCUGUGCCCUAGCAAUUCAAUGAGCACUGCAUUGAUGCAUACUGCGAUGGAAAAUGUACUCGAGAAUCGCCUACCACAGCAACCAAGGAACACCUUCUGGAGAGCAGCUGCGUUUCGACGUGAUGCGAUACUUCUAUAAUUUAUCGCAUAUCUUGAAAACACUUCUUGCGUGCCCACAUUAUUUUUUAUACCAGUACAAAUAAUGCGCCCAGACAAUGACACAAAAAGAACUUCCUGCAUUUUACACCACAAACGCAUUCAUUUAAUUCACUUAUAAUUAGAAUUGUAUAUAUUUAGGGACUUUUGACGAUUGAUUUGAUGAAUGCUUGUGGAAUAACACGCAGUGUAAACUCUUUAUAACUAUAAUCACUACGAUUAGUUGGUUUAAGGACGGAUCAUAUUCGUCCAACCAUUUGCCACAAACCAACAUUCUUGUAUAUAUUUUAGCGUCAUAAAAACGGUUAUCAAGAGUUUACAUUGUAUUGCAUAUACGCCUCACGACUUUUACUGCAUUGUCUUAUUGCUUCUCGAGCUAAUGGGACGACUUUGCGUUUUAUUUGCUGUAAGGGAAUUUGGUAGUUGCAGCACUGUUGUCUAGCUUUAAGUCGCAAAAGGGACGUCUAUAGAGGUUUUAAUUAAAUUCUCCGUGAGGUUGUAUUAAUUUGUUGCGGGAAUGACGCAUUGGUAAAUUCGAAAAUUGUUUUUUUGGCAUAGAUCGCGAGAGAGGCGGCUUAGAUAUUUCUGCGCGAUCUUUAGAGAUGUCAAAUUAGAGUCGACCUGCAACCCGGGAAAAUUUGCAUAAAAGGGUGGUUUGCACGCGAUCUAGGCGGUGUAGUAACUUCAGCGUGGCGCCUAGAGAUGCGGAAUUAAAUUCUACGUCGGGUGGUAUUUAAUAGUUGCAGGAAUUCGAGCAGCAACCCGCGAAAAUUUGCAUAUAAAGGUAAUUUUUCAACCCUUUUUCGUGAAACGUUUGUGUUUUUUCGGGUUUGCGCGCGAUCUAGGCGGCGUAAUAACUUCAGCGUGGCGGCUAGGGAUGCGGAAUUAAAUUCUCCGUCGGGUAGUAUUCGUUUGUUAUAGAAAUUCGAGCUACAACCCGCAAAUAUUUACAUAAUAGUAAU